rnacentral:rRNA from 1 species
CCUACGGGUGGCUGCAGUGGGGAAUAUUGGACAAUGGGCGAAAGCCUGAUCCAGCCAUGCCGCGUGUGUGAAGAAGGCCUUCGGGUUGUAAAGCACUUUCAGUGGGGAAGAAAGCCUUGGGGCUAAUACCCUCGAGGAAGGACAUCACCCACAGAAGAAGCACCGGCUAACUCCGUGCCAGCAGCCGCGGUAAUACGGAGGGUGCGAGCGUUAAUCGGAAUUACUGGGCGUAAAGCGCGCGUAGGCGGUCUGAUAAGCCGGUUGUGAAAGCCCCGGGCUCAACCUGGGAACGGCAUCCGGAACUGUCAGGCUAGAGUGCAGGAGAGGAAGGUAGAAUUCCCGGUGUAGCGGUGAAAUGCGUAGAGAUCGGGAGGAAUACCAGUGGCGAAGGCGGCCUUCUGGACUGACACUGACACUGAGGUGCGAAAGCGUGGGUAGCAAACAGGAUUAGAUACCCUGGUAGUC